rnacentral:rRNA from 1 species
GACGAACGCUGGCGGCGUGCUUAACACAUGCAAGUCGAGCGGUAAGGCCCUUUCGGGGGUACACGAGCGGCGAACGGGUGAGUAACACGUGGGUGACCUGCCCUCAGCUCUGGGAUAAGCCUGGGAAACCGGGUCUAAUACUGGAUAUGACUCCAUGACGCAUGUUGUGGGGUGGAAAGCCUUGUGCGGCUGAGGAUGGGCCCGCGGCCUAUCAGCUUGUUGGUGGGGUGAGGCCUACCAAGGCGACGACGGGUAGCCGGCCUGAGAGGGCGACCGGCACACGUGGGACUGAGACACGGCCCAGACUCCUACGGGAGGCAGCAGGUGGGGAAUCUUGCGCAAGUGGGCAAAGCCUGACGCAGCGACGCCGCGUGAGGAUGACG